rnacentral:rRNA from 1 species
UCAGGCCACAGGCGACGACGGGUAGCCGGCCUGAGAGGGUGACCGGCCACACUGGGACUGAGACACGGCCCAGACUCCUACGGGAGGCAGCAGUGGGGAAUAUUGCGCAAUGGGCGAAAGCCUGAUGCAGCGACGCCGCGUGAGGGAUGAAGGCCUUCGGGUUGUAAACCUCUUUCAGAAGGGAAGAAGCUGACGUGACUGUACCUGCAAAACAAGCCCCGGCUAACUACGUGCACCAGCCGCGGA